UUUCCGUAGGUGAACCUGCGGAAGGAUCAUUAAAGAGUCUAGGGUUCCGAAAGGGCCCAAACUCCCACCCUUUGUUAGUCGCAAACACGUUGCCUCGGCGGGGAGGUCCCCACGGACCGCGGGCCCCCGGCCCACCCGCCGCAGGACAAUUCAAACCCUGCUUUAUCCAGUGGUCUGAGCAAACGAUUUAAAAAAUCAAAACUUUCAACAACGGAUCUCUUGGUUCUGGCAUCGAUGAAGAACGCAGC
rnacentral:misc_RNA from 1 species